rnacentral:rRNA from 1 species
UACGUAGGGGGCUAGCGUUGUCCGGAUUUAUUGGGCGUAAAGAGCGUGUAGGCGGCCAAGUAGGUCCGGUGUGAAAACUCGAGGCUUAACCUCGAGAUGUCAUCGGAAACCAUUUGGCUAGAGUCCGGAAGAGGAAAGUGGAAUUCCUGGUGUAGCGGUGAAAUGCGCAGAUAUCAGGAGGAACACCGGUGGCGAAGGCGGGACUCUGGGCCGAUACUGACGCUGAGGAGCGAAAGCGUGGGGAGCGAACAGG